CUAUGCGCCUUGCCCAGCCCGCUCAGGUGUGCCAGCCGCCGCGGUAAUACAGAGGUCUCAAGCGUUGUUCGGAAUCACUGGGCGUAAAGCGUGCGUAGGCGGUUUCGUAAGUCGUGUGUGAAAGGCGGGGGCUCAACCCCCGGACUGCACAUGAUACUGCGAGACUAGAGUAAUGGAGGGGAACCGGAAUUCUCGGUGUAGCAGUGAAAUGCGUAGAUAUCGAGAGGAACACUCGUGGCGAAGGCGGGUUCCUGGACAUUAACUGACGCUGAGCACGAAGGCCAGGGAGCGAAAGGG
rnacentral:rRNA from 1 species